rnacentral:rRNA from 1 species
GAUCUGGCUCGCUCCUUCUCUGCUGAAGAAAAUCGAGCGGAAACGAUGGGAGCUUGCUCCCAGGCGUCGAGCGGCGGACGGGUGAGUAACACGUGGGAAUCUGCCCAUUAGUGGGGGAUAACUCGGGGAAACUCGAGCUAAUACCGCAUAAUCCCUACGGGGGAAAGCAGGGGAUCUUCGGACCUUGCGCUGAUGGAUGAGCCCGCGUCGGAUUAGCUUGUUGGUGGGGUAAUGGCCCACCAAGGCGACGAUCCGUAACUGGUCUGAGAGGAUGGCCAGUCACACCGGGACUGAGACACGGCCCGGACUCCUACGGGAGGCAGCAGUGGGGAAUCUUGGACAAUGGGCGCAAGCCUGAUCCAGCCAUGCCGCGUGUGUGAAGAAGGCCUUCGGGUUGUAAAGCACUUUCAGUAGGGAGGAAGGCUUUGGGCUAAUACCCUGGAGUACUUGACGUUACCUACAGAAGAAGCACCGGCUAAUUUCGUGCCAGCAGCCGCGGUAAUACAAAGGUGCGAGCGUUAAUCGGAAUUACUGGGCGUAAAGCGCGCGUAGGCGGUGUGUUAAUCGGAUGUGAAAGCCCAGGGCUCAACCUUGGAAUUGCAUCCCAUACUGGCACGCUAAAUGCAAGAGGGGAGGUGGAAUUUCGGGGGCCGGGAAAGCAAAACCGAAGG